rnacentral:rRNA from 1 species
UCCUACGGGAGGCAGCAGUGGGGAAUUUUGGACAAUGGGCGAAAGCCUGAUCCAGCAAUGCCGCGUGUGUGAAGAAGGCCUUCGGGUUGUAAAGCACUUUUGUCCGGAAAGAAAUCCUUGGCUCUAAUACAGCCGGGGGAUGACGGUACCGGAAGAAUAAGCACCGGCUAACUACGUGCCAGCAGCCGCGGUAAUACGUAGGGUGCGAGCGUUAAUCGGAAUUACUGGGCGUAAAGCGUGCGCAGGCGGUUUGCUAAGACCGAUGUGAAAUCCCCGGGCUCAACCUGGGAACUGCAUUGGUGACUGGCAGGCUAGAGUAUGGCAGAGGGGGGUAGAAUUCCACGUGUAGCAGUGAAAUGCGUAGAGAUGUGGAGGAAUACCGAUGGCGAAGGCAGCCCCCUGGGCCAAUACUGACGCUCAUGCACGAAAGCGUGGGGAGCAAACAGGAUUAGAUACCCUGGUAGUCCAUGCCCUAAACGAUGUCAACUAGUUGUUGGGGAUUCAUUUCCUUAGUAACGUAGCUAACGCGUGAAGUUGACCGCCUGGGGAGUACGGUCGCAAGAUUAAAACUCAAAGGAAUUGACGGGGACCCGCACAAGCGGUGGAUGAUGUGGAUUAAUUCGAUGCAACGCGAAAAACCUUACCUACCCUUGACAUGGUCGGAAUCCCGCUGAGAGGUGGGAGUGCUCGAAAGAGAACCGGCGCACAGGUGCUGCAUGGCUGUCGUCAGCUCGUGUCGUGAGAUGUUGGGUUAAGUCCCGCAACGAGCGCAACCCUUGUCCUUAGUUGCUACGCAAGAGCACUCUAAGGAGACUGCCGGUGACAAACCGGAGGAAGGUGGGGAUGACGUCAAGUCCUCAUGGCCCUUAUGGGUAGGGCUUCACACGUCAUACAAUGGUCGGAACAGAGGGUUGCCAACCCGCGAGGGGGAGCUAAUCCCAGAAAACCGAUCGUAGUCCGGAUUGCACUCUGCAACUCGAGUGCAUGAAGCUGGAAUCGCUAGUAAUCGCGGAUCAGCAUGCCG